rnacentral:lncRNA from 1 species
GGGCUCUCGCCGUGAGUCGACGAAGGGAGCGCGGGCGCGCGCCCGCGUCCGCGCACUGAGAGUCGCCUCGGCCGCUCGCUUUCUCGACUCCCGCCUCGCGCCUCGAUCCUGUUCCGCCUCCCUCGGCCCUCCUGCCCGCCCCCACUCGUCGGCCCUCAGGUUCCUGGAAAGUGAAAAUUUCAUUUCUUUGUGGACAGGUACCUAAAAUGUCUCAUUAUUCAUCAAUUAAUGAAAAACAAAUGAAAAUUUGAGAGAGAUAUUCUGAAGAAUAAAAGGAUCAAGUUGGGUCAUUUCUAAAAUCUCAGAGACCUAAUAGGAUGGGGUCUUAGAGAAACAUCUUUUGAGCCACAGACUUCUUUGUUACCAGAAGGAAAAUGAAAGAAGAAAUUUAAAUACCACUUGAAGAGAGGUGAGAACCCUUUGUUAAGCUGUGUAACCUCUGUGCAUAGUUUCCUCAUCAGCAAAGUCAGAAAAAGUAUGUACCUGAAGGACUGAUUGUAAGGCUGGGAUGAGAGAAUCCAUGUGAUCAGCCCUCACCAACAGGUGCUGCCCAGUUCAUGAGUGCUGCUGCUGUCCUGCCCAAGUACCCAGCUUGCAGAGUGCCAGAGUUAGAGUCCCAGGGGUGUUCUCCACAGCUGCAUGCUUGAUCCAGGCCUAUCAGGUGUUAUUUGUUGACGGAACCAGGCAUCAUCAGCAAACAAAACUGACAAAGCUUCCUGCCCUCUGUGGAAGGCAUCUGAGGAAGAGACUGGAUUUUGUAGCAACAUGUUAUUCUCAUUAUAAACUUUAUCAUUGGAAUACUAAAGCCAAAUCAUCCCCCAUCUCCUUGAUCAGGAUACCCACUUAAUCUAGGCAGCUACACAAUUGUGAGAGCCUUUGUUUUUUUCUGCUGAAACAUCCUUAAAAAGAUACCUCACAACCCAAGAUUUGGCUUUUCUUAAAUACGAUUUUUAAUUUUUUUCAUUUCUAUCUAGAGAUUUAAUUGGAAAUGGAAAAUCAUCAAUUUUCCAAUUAAAUGUCUGUUCCAAUCAACAUUAUACCUUUUAGGUUGUCAUUGUCAUUUUUAAGUUUAAGCAACUUUAAGGAUUUUGAAUCUGGCUGCCUGUAAAUUAAAGGUGAAAGUAAUCAUUGUGUUGGAUUGGAACAUUUUGUCAAUUGAGAGUGGUUUCCUUGUUCUUAGUGUAUGAAAAGUUUAUUUUUCUAAUGUAGAUUAAUAAAGGAGAUAAAGAAAAACAAAAUGAGUGAUUUAUGUGUGUGAGAAAAGAACCAUUUCCUCAAGGAUUAAAUAAAAUUCAUACCUUUUGUUUCUUUUGAAAA